UCCUUUUGUAGAUAAUCUAAGGUCUAGCCUGCCCACUGAAAUUUUAAAUGGCCGUGGUAUUUUGACCGUGCUAAGGUAGCAUAAUCAUUAGUUUUUUAAUUAAAAACUGGAAUGAAAGGUUGGAUGAGAAAAUAGCUGUCUCUAUUAAAUUUAAUUAGAAUUUUAUUUUUAAGUUAAAAAGCUUAAUUAUUAUUAAAAGACGAGAAGACCCUAUAGAGUUUAAUUAUUUAAUAAAAAUUAUAUUUUAGUAUUAAUUUAUUUAUUUUAUUGAAUAAUUUAAUUGGGGUGAUUGAAAAAUUUAAUUAACUUUUUUUAUUUAAGAACAUUAAUUUAUGAAUAAAUGAUCCAAUAUUUUUGAUUAUAAGAUAAAAUUACCUUAGGGAUAACAGCGUAAUUUUUUUAGAAAGUUCAUAUUAAAAAAAAAGAUUGCGACCUCGAUGUUGGAUUAAAAUAAAUUUUUGGUGUAGAAGCUAAAAUAUUAGGUCUGUUCGACCUUUAAAAUUUUACAUGAU
rnacentral:rRNA from 1 species